CGCGGGGCCGGGUCGGAGGGUCGCGUGUGCGCGUGCGGAGAGAGGAGGGGGUCGCGAAGGGAAGGUCUGAGGUGGAGGCGGGCGGGGCAGAGAAGCAACAAGUGCGGAGGCCGAGGGGGCCCCACCCGGGGGAUUUCGUACAACCUAGAAUAGAAACCUCCUCUGGCGUUGGUGCGGCGCCUUGCAGUUUCCAGAGCUCUUUGCCAGUCCUUCGUUGCGUCCGCACACGGCCCUCAGGAGCUGACCGCAGGCCUUACCCUUUGCGUUUUGAGGCCACUGAGGGGAAAACACCUCGUUCCGGCCGACAUCCUACCAGAAUCAGAGACCCCUGACCCUCAGUGUCCUGUCUGGGAGAAAAACACCCGUCCGGACCUUCAUUUGAUAGUCUCAGUUCAGGGACUUUGUAGGACAGUGUUGCUCGACCUUUAUUUUUCUUUCCGUUAUCGCUUUCUUCAGCCUUUUUAGACAUUUUGUUCACUAAUCGCACCUCCCCCCCCAUGAAAUUCUGAUAUCAUUGAUAUAUACCGUAUAGUUGCUUCUGUACCGUAUGUGUAUUUGUGUUUUAUACAUAAAAAGACUAAGAUUUCGCCCCUUGGAAUGAUCUCGAGCCCGCUGAGAGGGCUCGUUCCAGGAGCGCGGCUCUUCGUUAGCGAGCGGCCUAGUGGAGCGGCGAGGACUCGGGGCGCCCCCGCAAGUGCUCUCUGGAGGUUAGGAACAAGCCCUCACGUGUGUGUGGACAGCUCGUUCUAGCGUCUGCAGGUGCUGCCGUGAGCAAUGGAAUAGAGUCACGCCCUGCCUCGUCUUUCAGUAUUUCUUACCCAACUCUAAUGGUGGUAUUUCGGAGGGAAAAAAGCUGUUGGAGAUAUACCUGCUUUUAAUGUGGCUGUAAUUGGCAUGAUAUCCCAUACCAAAAUGCCUUUUUAGCAGAAGAGAUAGAGGCAAACCAGAAAGCAAGAAGCAGUUUCUUCUCUGCAAUCUGGGAGAAAAGACUUUCCCUCAAGGACAGAUCAGGUGCUGUUUUUCAACCCUCAACUUUUGACCAAGAAUGAAACUAUUUAAAAAUUAAGAUGCCAACAGAUCACGAAGAGCCCUGUGGUGCCAGGCACAGGUCAUUUUGCCUGAAUGGGGGGAUUUGUUAUGUGAUACCUACUAUUCCCAGCCCCUUUUGUAGUUGGGGCAUGAGAUUUUUCACUGCAUUAGAAGGUUGUUCAGACCUGAAGCCUGGGAAGAUGCGUUGAAAAUUAUACAGGAGCUCGUUGUGAAGAGAUUUUUCUCCCAAGCUUCAGCAUCCGAACUAAAAGUGACCUGUUUGCAGCUUUCGUGGCAUUGGCUAUUCUUCUAGGAACUUUUAUCAUUGGAGCCAUCUACUUCCUUUGCAGGAACGGCCACCUUCAGAGAGCCAAUGUAGUCCAGUAUGAUAUCAACCUGGUAGAGACAAACAGUACCAGCGCCCACCACAAAUGUUCAAUGGGAUGGUAAAAAACUCAAUUCUUUUUUAGAAACCACACACACAUAAAACAACAAAUUGACCUCUUUCUGUCUAUAAAGACACAUUGUAAUAAAAUGAAAAGUACUUUAAAGCCUUUCCACACAGAGCUACUCUGCUUUAAUUGGGAAAAGUUUUGGAACGUAAGUAUUAAAUUGCUACUUUUUUUAAUGGAGGGAAAAAAGAUGUCAAAACAAAGGGUAAAAAUCUGGCUAUGGUAUUGGGCAUACACAAAAUUAGCUCACUGACCACUUAUCUUUUCAAAGUCAAACAAUCUCAGUCAAUAAUUGUGAGGUCACAACUAUAAGGAAACAAGAGAAAUGCCUUUUACCACAUGUGACAAGAUCUGUGUCGUGACAAUAAAGUUGAUUAUGGGGACUAGGACUUGCUUAAUGAUAUUAGCUAUUUAUAUUAUGCAAAUCACUGCAUAUUUAAUUAUGAAAAUCACCACAUUCUAUUUUAAAAAUUACUAAUAACCUAUCUUCACCAAGAAACUCCCUUUGCCACCACACCAAUAAAGAUUUAUUCAGUUUACCAGCUACCCUGUGAUAGGUUUGUUCAGGUCACCUAAUGUGCCUCUAGAAUAUAGACCUCCCUAGGCAAUCUUCCCCAUUUGUUCAUUAAGUAAACCCACAGCCUAAGUCCUAGCAUACAUUUAGGUUGUAAUUAUGUAUCAUCUCUAUUGCAAUAAUGCCCUAGUUCUGAAAGUACAACUCUUCAAAUGGAAAGAAAGCAAUGUAUCAUGAAUGUCAGAUGCCUGUAUGUGCCAGGCACUGUGGUCGCUAUUUCAUAUAUGUUAACUCAUACAAGUCAACACCUGUUGUGAGGCAGGUGCUAUUAGUCUCACUCUACAAGAGAAAACGUGAGGCUCAGAGAGGUUAAGGUCAAGAUCACACAUCUAGAAGGUGGUAAGACAAGGUAAGUCUAGCUCCCAAACCCCCAUGUUUUUCAUACUGUACUUAUGCUUCCACUGAUAUGGGUGACAGUCUCAGGGCUCACUGGCUUUAGGGGGAGUUUUUGCCCCUAUACUAAACAGCCCUAGCCAGCCACAGGUUCUUUUAGUCCUUGUGUUUGACACUUUCUUCUGUUAUCUCGCCAUCAGUUAUUCUCAUUGCUGUUAGUGUGACUCUCUGGCAGUCUUUUCCCCAUACCCACUUUUUUAUCAUUUGUACUAUCUUUAAAAAAAACUCACCAAGCUUGUUAGAACUUUGGAUAACAGAGAAAAUAGGCUGUGAGGACACUUACUUGAGACCUGACACAACUCUUCUGUGUUCUGAUGAGCAUUGGAGGGCAGAGUGCUGGCUUGUUUGCGUGUUCUGGGCUAUCUCACCUCAACUCUUCACAUCACAAACAGAAGGGGUCAUGGAGAACACUGAGGAAAUAUCAAAGUGAACCAAAUCAUUGCUUCUUUGUUACAAAGGCAGAAAAUGAAACACCAUAAGGAAAACCACCCCUGAGCUAACAUCCAUGCCCAUCCUCCUCUACUUUAUAUAAGGGAUGCCUGCCACAGCAUGGCUUGACAAGUGGUGCAUAGGUCCGCAUCCGGGAUUGGAACCAGCAAACCCCAGCCCGCCAAAGCAGAAUGUGUGAACUUAACCGCUGUGCCACCAGGCUGGCCCCAAUCUUGCCUCUUUUGCUGGCCGUGAUGACAGUCACUAGAGAACAAUAACUUUUAUACAAACUGUUAUGAAAUGAAAAUUCUCCAUACACUCUUGGUACCAAAACAUUAAAUGAAGUUUAUUGGUUUCUGCCAAUGUUUUCCACUUUAUAGUAGCAUAUAUUCUUGUAACCUGUCUCAUUGUGGUGUAAGGCAGAAAUGAAAUAUAUAAAACAAAAAUAAUAUGUCUUACAAAUAUUUGACUGUUCUUUAAAAUACUAAAAUAACUUUCUGAUAACAUUCUUUCCAUAGUAUAGAUAUUAAUUUUGUUCAUUUAACAAGGAUGUUUAAUGCUGACUAUGUUCUGUUAUUUUAGGAUUUUCACUAAGCAGACGCACACCCAGUUUCUACAGGUGAAAUCAAGUCAGUCAUCUAAAAACCUCAUAAUUUCCAAUCAAAUUAGAGUCUUCUGUUUCCAGUAAAAUGGAAUUUAUGGUGGUGCUAAUCUGAGUUAGACUGUGUCGGCAGAAAACGACAGAAGUUGAUUUUUUUUCUUAAAACUUUCUGCACAAUGAAUAGAGAAUUCUCAGAUUUGUAGUUUAUUUUACAUUCUCUGCAUGUUCAUUGUAUUAAGUUGACAAUCAAAAUCAGUGGCAAAACUUUUCCUAUCUGGCCUGUCUUGUCGUACUAGAUUGAGAAGUUGGUAUGUGUGCCAAUAUUUAACCAAAGUGGAGAGAAAUGUAUUAGUGAAGUGACCUACUGGACCCCCCUUCAUUAAUAUAGGUCACAGUAGAUUAUUAAUUAUAUCAGUGUGCACGGUGUCUAUUUCCAGGUCUUAAUCCCAAGGCCUACCUUCCCUCCUCUUCCUUAGAUUGUUACUUGGCUUAUAAAGAGUUUAGUUCUACUUGAAUAAAAGGGAAUGGAAAUAGAUUCCUUGACAGCACUUUUACAAAACAAAUUGCAGCUGUGCAAAGAUUUUGCUUUGAAAGCAUAUAAAGGAAAUCAGUAUUUUUAAAUGUCUUGAUCAAACCAUCCUAUGAAUCUGACUAUCACGCAAGAGAAGGCAGUUUAGUGUGAAGACAUGAAAGGUACAUCUUUACUUCUCUUUGUGCUCACAUCAGUUUUUUUGCGUGAUCAUUUUCCCAGUUUCACGACUGACUACAAUGGUUACCAUUUCUAGGCACUUCGUAUAUUUUUAGCUGAAACAGUAAUUAUUCCCUUAAUGCUUGCUUUUGUCUAAGACAAGCCUUUCAAAAUUGUAGUAAAUUAGUUACUUCAUUUUAAAUUUGGUUAAACUACUAUUCCCCUUCCAUGCAACAUCAAGGCCUCUGGGAGGCAGGGCAGAUGACUUUCAUUUUUAUCAGUACUACUCAUUUCUAUUGGGUUAACUUCUCCCCUUUCUAUUCUGUACCAAGGUUACAACCUUGUAGCCAAAUGAACUUAUUGUUCAUAACAAACCCCAAAGGCUCAGCUGUAAAAAAGAACCCUAUGUUAACUUCAAAUAUUGUAUGAAAUGACCCUGCAGCAGGCUCUCCUUUGAGAAGUAAUAAAACAUUUUAUGAGUAUUAAUUUGAAAAAAUAAACUCAUUCAAUCCUCAGGC